AUUGAACGCUAGCGGGAUGCCUUACACAUGCAAGUCGAACGGAGUGGCGAACGGGUGAGUAAUGUAUCGGAACGUUCCCUGUAGCGGGGGAUGACUACGCGAAAGCGAAGCUAAUACCGCAUUCUAUUGGAGCGGCCGAUAUCGGAUUAGCUAGUGGGUGGGGUAAUGGCCCACCAAGUCGACGAUCCGUAGCUGGUUUGAGAGGACGACCAGCCAUACGGGGACUGAGAGAGGGCCCAGGCUCGUACGGGAGGCAGCAGUGGGGAAUUUUGGAAAAUGGGCGAAACCCUGAUGCAGCCAUCCCGCGUGUGGCAGGAAGGCUUUGGGGCUGUAAACCACUUUUGGUAGGAAAGCGGUACCUGCAGAACAAGCACCUGCUAACUACGUGCCAGCAGCCGCGGUAAUUC
rnacentral:rRNA from 1 species